GCUGGGCAUGGUGGUUCAUGCCUGCAAUCCCAGCAGCUUGGGAGGCUGAGGCAGGAGGAUCAUGAGAGGAGGAUAGCAGCCUCAGCAACUCAAGGAGACCCUAUCUCUA
rnacentral:sRNA from 1 species